GGGGCUGAGGCUCAGUGGCAGAGCACUCGCCUGGCAUGUGAGAGGCACUGGGUUCAAUACUCAGCACCA
rnacentral:tRNA from 1 species